rnacentral:lncRNA from 1 species
GGUCAUGUGUUUGGAGCAUCCACUAUCAAGGUACCAAAGUACACUUGAUCCCUUCAAACAUACCUACAAGACAAAUCAAUGAGUUUUUGGUACCCAAGAUGUUUUAGGUCCUUGAGAGUUAGGUGUAAAAUGCUGUUGUGCUUGACAUGCAGUUUAGUGUAUGUGUCUAGUAAAACAAGCAGGAGCAAUAUGUCCUAUUCGACUACAAUAGUGACAA